rnacentral:rRNA from 1 species
GACGAACGCUGGCGGCGUGCCUAACACAUGCAAGUCGAACGAAGCAUAGCAAUAUGCUUAGUGGCGGACGGGUGAGUAACGCGUGAACAAUCUGCCCUGUACAAAGGAAUAGCCUCGGGAAACCGGGAUUAAAACCGUAUGACACUUUAGUAUCGCAUGAUAAGAAAGUCAAAUCGAAUAGAGGUAUGGGAUGAGUUCGCGUCUGAUUAGCUGGGUUGGCGGGGUAACGGCCCACCAAGGCGAUGAUCAGUAGCCGGCCUGAGAGGGUGAACGGCCACACUGGAACUGAGACACGGUCCAGACUCCUACGGGAGGCAGCAGUGGGGAAUAUUGCACAAUGGAGGGAACUCUGAUGCAGCGACGCCGCGUGAGUGAAGAAGGUCUUCGGAUCGUAAAACUCUGUCCUUGGUGAAGAAAGGACGGUAGCCAAGGAGGAAGCCCCGGCUAACUACGUGCCAGCAGCCGCGGUAAGCUGUAGUCGU